rnacentral:rRNA from 1 species
GGGAUAACCUUGCGAAAGUAGGACUAAUACCCAAUGACGUCUCUAGAAGACAUCUGAAAGAGAUUAAAGAUUUAUCGGUGAUGGAUGGGGAUGCGUCUGAUUAGCUUGUUGGCGGGGUAACGGCCCACCAAGGCAACGAUCAGUAGGGGUUCUGAGAGGAAGGUCCCCCACAUUGGAACUGAGACACGGUCCAAACUCCUACGGGAGGCAGCAGUGAGGAAUAUUGGUCAAUGGGCGAGAGCCUGAACCAGCCAAGUAGCGUGCAGGAUGACGGCCCUAUGGGUUGUAAACUGCUUUUAUAAGGGAAUAAAGUGGGAGUCGUGACUCCUUUUGCAUGUACCUUAUGAAUAAGGACCGGCUAAUUCCGUGCCAGCAGCCGCGGUAAUACGGAAGGUCCGGGCGUUAUCCGGAUUUAUUGGGUUUAAAGGGAGCGUAGGCCGGAGAUUAAGCGUGUUGUGAAAUGUAGACGCUCAACGUCUGCACUGCAGCGCGAACUGGUUUCCUUGAGUACGCACAAAGUGGGCGGAAUUCGUGGUGUAGCGGUGAAAUGCUUAGAUAUCACGAAGAACUCCGAUUGCGAAGGCAGCUCACUGGAGCGCAACUGACGCUGAAGCUCGAAAGUGCGGGUAUCGAACAGGAUUAGGUACCCUGGUAGUCCGCACGGUAA